CCCUGUAUUCGAAAGUGAUUGUGGGCUGCCUGUGCCCUGGUCAUUGAUACUGCAGGAAAAGGAGCUGCUGAAAGCCUUUCCCCGUGUUUGGAGAGCUGGCUCCUGUCCCUUCCAAACUCUGGAGCUUUCUCACA
ensembl:snoRNA SNORA71 Small nucleolar RNA SNORA71